UACGAAGGGGGCUAGCGUUGCUCGGAAUCACUGGGCGUAAAGCGCACGUAGGCGGAUUGUUAAGUCAGGGGUGAAAUCCUGGAGCUCAACUCCAGAACUGCCUUUGAUACUGGCGAUCUCGAGUCCGGGAGAGGUGAGUGGAAUUGCGAGUGUAGAGGUGAAAUGCGUAGAGAUCGGCAGGAACACCCAGGGCGAAAGCAGCCCCCUGGGCAUCAACUGACGCUGAUGGACGAAAGCGUGGGGAGCGAACCGG
rnacentral:rRNA from 1 species